rnacentral:tRNA from 1 species
UCCCUGGAGGACUAGUGGUUAGGCCUCGGUGCUCUUGCUGCUGUGGCCCGGGUUCGAUUCCUGGCCAGGGAA